rnacentral:rRNA from 1 species
UGCCAGCCGCCGCGGUAAUACGGAGGGGGCUAGCGUUGUUCGGAAUUACUGGGCGUAAAGCGUGCGUAGGCGGAUUAUUAAGUUAGGGGUGAAAUCCCGGGGCUCAACCUCGGAACUGCCUCUAAAACUGGUAAUCUAGAGAUAUGGAGAGGUAAGUGGAAUUCCUAGUGUAGAGGUGAAAUUCGUAGAUAUUAGGAGGAACACCAGAGGCGAAGGCGGCUUACUGGACAUAUACUGACGCUGAGGCACGAAAGUGUGGGUAGCAAACAGGAUUAGAUA